rnacentral:rRNA from 1 species
AAACUCAAAUGAAUUGACGGGGCCCGCACAAGCGGUGGAGCAUGUGGUUAAUUCGACGCAACGCGAAGAACCUUACCAGGGCUUGACAUCCCCUGACCGCGUAUGAAAGUACGUUUCACCUCGGGUGACAGGGAGACAGGUGGUGCAUGGUUGUCGUCAGCUCGUGUCGUGAGAUGUUGGGUUAAGUCCCGCAACGAGCGCAACCCUUGUCAUUAGUUGCCAUCAUUUAGUUGGGCACUCUAAUGAGACUGCCGGUGACAAACCGGAGGAAGGUGGGGAUGACGUCAAGUCCUCAUGGCCCUUAUGGGUAGGGCUUCACACGUCAUACAAUGGUCGGUACAGAGGGUUGCCAAGCCGCGAGGUGGAGCCAAUCCCUUAAAGCCGAUCGUAGUCCGGAUCGUAGUCUGCAACUCGACUACGUGAAGUCGGAAUCGCUAGUAAUCGCAGAUCAGCAUGCUGCGGUGAAUACGUUCCCGGGUCUU